GAAAGAAAGAGAGAAAGGUGGGGGUGGGGUCCUCUCGAAGUUUGGUUUAAAUUUGUGCUUGAGUGUCUGUGGACCAAAAUUGGCAUGGAACACUGUUGAAGGCAAAGAGAGGUACAUUUGGUGUAUUUAUAUGGUGUAUGGAGUUUGGUGUAUUUCAGGGGAUGUUACUUCAGAGAGGCGAAGACAAAGAAGACCAGAGAAAAAGCUCCAUGUCCUGUCUGUUCUUGAGGGCCGAAAUGACUAAUUUGGUGACUGCAACUGAAAUUCCUUCAAAUUUUGGAGACGGAGCAAAAACAAGAAAUGGAUGGAAAAAAACCCCAGAGAAAACGCCAAAGACAAAUGAAAAGAAAUGUCAUUUCAGUGUGGGGGCAGUGGGUGAGUAAGAGACAAAUAUUU